rnacentral:rRNA from 1 species
CACGGGGGGAGCAAGCGUUGUUCGGAAUCACUGGGCGUAAAGGGCGUGCAGGCGGUCAGGUAAGUGGGAUGUGAAAUGCCCCGGCUCACCCGGGGACCGGCAUCUCAUACUGCUUGGCUUGAGUACGGGAGAGGAUGUGGGAAUUCCUGGUGUAGCGGUGAAAUGCGCAGAUAUCAGGAGGAACACCGGUGGCGAAGGCGGGACUCUGGGCCGAUACUGACGCUGAGGAGCGAAAGCGUGGGGAGCGAACAGG